GUUGUUUUAAUCAUGUUGCUAGUAGAGUAGUAGUAGCUAAGGUAGUAGAGUUCAAAACAAACUUGAACUCAGCCGUUGCUUAGUAGCUAAGGUAGUAGAGUUCAAAACAAACUUGAACUCAGCCGUUGCUUAGUAGCUAAGGUAGUAGAGUUCAAAACAAACUUGAACUCAGCCGUUGCUUAGUAGCUAAGGUAGUAGAGUUCAAAUCAAAUUUGAACUCCAUCUCUAGGAUAGACGGUUCCUAGGAUAGACGGUUCCUGAGUCCUAUAUAAGGACAUGUACUCAUCACUUGUAAGAUAAGCUAUUACGUAGAGAAAUAAAUCAAGAGCUUCA